rnacentral:rRNA from 1 species
UACGGAGGGUGCAAGCGUUUAUCCGGAUUCACUGGGUUUAAAGGGUGCGUAGGUGGGCAAGUAAGUCAGUGGUGAAAUCUCCGGGCUUAACCCGGAAACUGCCAUUGAUACUAUUUGUCUUGAAUACUGUGGAGGUCAGCGGAAUAUGUCAUGUAGCGGUGAAAUGCUUAGAUAUGACAUAGAACACCAAUUGCGAAGGCAGCUGGCUACACAAAUAUUGACAC